AAUACUUGCUGAAACGUAAAUUUAUCGUGGAAUCAAGAAGUGGCCUACAAGACUUUUUGAAUUUAGAAUUAUUUUAUUUUAGGUUGUGAUUCACUUAUACACUUUAGUUUUCCACCCUUCCAUACACUGAGCGUCGUCGGAGUCCUUGUUUCCUUCCCUUCCGCCCAUCUUAAUUCGCAAAAUCUUUCUACCUAAGAACCUUACCCACCUCGUCUGUCGAUAUUUAGGAGGUAAUUUAAAUCAGGGGGAUCUCUUCCACCUAGUAUCGGGGCGAGUCGAAGCGUCGCCCCCAAACUGCCAGUCCGUGCGCCACACCGUUCGCUUCUCGGGAGAUAUGCCUAAAAGAUAAGUGAUUAAACCUUAGAGUUUUGUGUUCUAUUUCAUUUACGAUGUUGCCAAUAAUCAAUCUGUCAUUUUCCUCCAAUCUGAAUUUUUAAUCACCGUUAAGGCGUCUCCUUCGAUACUAACUUCUCUAAAUCCCAGGUCUUCCGCAAAGUUCACCGCCCACAAACAAGCGAUGGCUUCAGCAGUGGUCGGGUCGCCAACAUUAUCCUACGGGUUUUGGUAUUCAUAUGUCAUUCCAAAGGUUCACCAGCUUUUCAUUUCCAAUUCUCUAUCCCAAGCCUUUUUCUAAAAGGCUUCAGGUGUAACAGCCCGUUUUUAGUCAAAUUGGAAAAGUAAUUUCGGGACUACAAAUAUGAGUGAAAUCAAAGCUAGAUCGGAUUCGGGAAUCGUCGGAGACCUUAUCACACUAUUAAGUUAUCACUUUGGUACUUUUGAAUCUAUGUUUUUGGGAUAUAUGGCAUGUAUAGGAGCUUUGGUCAUUUUGGUAUAUAGUUUGGUAAUGGUUUUAGCCAUUUGAGUUGGCUUGUAAUGGAUGAAUGGUUUGUAAUGUGUAUAACAAUGUGAGUUAGCUUAUUUUGGUAUUUUUGAUAAUGUUUGUAUAUAUGUACAAAUGCCCUUUUGUCACGUGGUUGGUAAUGACUAUGUGAUGUGUAUUAUGAAUUGGUAAUUUGAGUACCUUAUGAUUGAAAUUUAGAGAUUUGGUAUGCUUGAAAUUUUAGGUAAAU